UUGCCAGUUUUACUGCCUUACCAAGUGUUUCUCUCAUGAUUAUUCUGACUACUAUCUUGUGUAUAACCUUGCCUGUUUACUCUGACCAUUGUCUUUUCGGAUCAACCCUGCAUUCUGGUCUUGGCGGAGUACGCUGUAGCAGCACAAUUACUAUGACUUGCUACUGCCAAUAUUUCCACAACAUGCUGCUGCUGAGCAGGGACGGUUCUAAGCAACUGUUGGAACACUGAAUGCCACAGGUAAAAAAAGGUAAAAAAGUACACUUCUAUAAUGUAACACACUUUUUGCACACUAAUUUUGUACUUAAUAUACUAAAAAGGAUUCUUUAGUACUUCUUAAGAUAAAAAAGUAGAAUAUUGUAGAAUCAUGUUGCCCUAAAAUAUCACACUUUUAACAUACUAUUUUUAUUUUUAAAAAUUUAUUUAUUUACCUCUUGCAGCACACUUAAAAGCAUAUUUCAUACAAUAGUACA